GCGAAUAUGGCGAAAUAGGUAGACGCGUAUGGUUCAGGGUCAUAUGAUAAUUACUAUCAUGCAGGUUCGAUUCCUGUUAUUCGCA
rnacentral:tRNA from 1 species